rnacentral:rRNA from 1 species
UACGUAGGUGGCAAGCGUUGUCCGGAUUUACUGGGCGUAAAGAGCGCGCAGGCGGUCGUCCAAGUCGCGUGUGAAAGCCCCCCGGCUCAACUGGGGAGGGUCACGCGAUACUGGUCGACUCGAAGGCAGGAGAGGGUAGUGGAAUUCCCCGGUGUAGUGGUGAAAUGCGUAGAUAUCGGGAGGAACACCAGUGGCGAAGGCGACUACCUGGCCUGUUCUUGACGCUGAGGCGCGAAAGCUAGGGGAGCAAACGGGG